UACGAAGGGGGCUAGCGUUGCUCGGAAUUACUGGGCGUAAAGGGCGCGUAGGCGGGUUCUCAAGUCCGGGGUGAAAUCCCACAGCUCAACUGUGGAACUGCCUCGGAUACUGGGUGCCUCGGAGGGUGGUAGGGGUAUGCGGUACUAUCGGUGGAGCGGUGAAAUGCGUUGAUAUCGAUGAGGAACUCCGGUGGCGAAGGCGGCAUACUGGACCACAUCUGACGCUGAGGCGCGAAAGCCAGGGGAGCGAACGGG
rnacentral:rRNA from 1 species